rnacentral:rRNA from 1 species
ACGGGAGGCAGCAGUGGGGAAUAUUGCACAAUGGGGGAAACCCUGAUGCAGCGACGCCGCGUGAAGGAUGAAGUAUUUCGGUAUGUAAACUUCUAUCAGCAGGGAAGAAAAUGACGGUACCUGACUAAGAAGCCCCGGCUAACUACGUGCCAGCAGCCGCGGUAAUACGUAGGGGGCAAGCGUUAUCCGGAUUUACUGGGUGUAAAGGGAGCGUAGACGGCUGUGCAAGUCUGGAGUGAAAACCCGGGGCUCAACCCCGGGAUUGCUUUGGAAACUGUGUAGCUGGAGUACCGGAGAGGCAAGUGGAAUUCCUAGUGUAGCGGUGAAAUGCGUAGAUAUUAGGAGGAACACCAGUGGCGAAGGCGGCUUGCUGGACGGUAACUGACGUUGAGGCUCGAAAGCGUGGGGAGCAAACAGGAUUAGAUACCCUGGUA